rnacentral:tRNA from 1 species
GCCUUCGUGGUGUAGUGGUCAGCACGCUCGACGCGUAACCGAGAGGUCCGUGGUUCGAUUCCCGGAGAAAGCG